rnacentral:rRNA from 1 species
UACGUAGGGGGCAAGCGUUGUCCGGAUUUAUUGGGCGUAAAGAGCGUGUAGGCGGCCUGCAAGGUCUGCUGUGAAAACUCGAGGCUCAACCUCGAGAUGUCGGCGGAAACCGUCUGGCUAGAGUCCGGAAGAGGAGAGUGGAAUUCCUGGUGUAGCGGUGAAAUGCGCAGAUAUCAGGAAGAACACCCGUGGCGAAGGCGGCUCUCUGGAACGCAACUGACGCUGAGACGCGAAAGCGUGGGGAGCAAACAGG